AGAGAGGAAGAGAGAGAGAUUACAUUUUUCUGAGUUAGUAUUCACACAAGCUCAGACGUAACAGAAACACAGUAAUUCUGUAAGCAGUCCACUGAGGCCAACUUCCUAGAAAGGAAGAGUAUAUUAUCUCAGCAAAGGGAUAAUUAUUUCUCCCAUUGCUUUAGUAAGGCUUAAGGUGUAUUGGCUUUCCCAAGCAAUGGUCUACACCAGGCAACUGACCAGCUCAACUGGAUUAAGCAGGGAAGACAAUGAUAUGGUAACAGAACUCAACAUGCCGAGAAGAGAAGGUACACCAUGUAGGACAAAAUUAACAUUUGCUAACAGAGCCACCACACUGAACUAAUUAAUUCCUCCCUCCCUCUCUCAAUACUCACAGCCUGCCCUGUCUUAGCACUGACCUCAGGAUAUGAUUGGUUACCAGCAGUUAGAGGGAAGGGGCCCUAAGGAACUGAAGCUCACAUGGAUCUCAGGCCCAAGAACACCCAGUCUUCAGAAUACGAGGUUGGCCACCAGUUCACCUUUGGACAAGACUGGGUUUCACCUGUUUAUCAGAGUGGUGUGGCUCACCUGACACAGAUAAUCACACAAUGGGCCAGCAUUGACUCAUUUCCCUACAUCUGGGUUAUCUCACAGGAAACAGCACCACAUUGUUUCCUGCGGGUGGGCGUGACUGAGGCGCCAGUCCCUACAAAGUCCCUGGGAAGUGGGUGGUGCAUGUGGGCGUGGCUUGCCCGCCUUCCCUUCUUGGGGGUCCCCUAUUUUCAGCACAGCUGGAUAAGGUUUCUCUGGAGUGUCCCUGUCUUCUGUGGCUCUCUCUUGUGAUGAACACUGUGACCAAAAGCAAGGGAAUCAGGGCCUUUGUCUCCUGCAACUUGAGUUUCUGGCAUCUGCAGGUAACUGGGAGCUAUUUUCAGGACGAAGAAGAACCUGAAAUUACAGCAAAGCAUCAAAGAGCCUCAACCUGGAAAGCAA